rnacentral:lncRNA from 1 species
CACCGUCGCCCCCUGUAGGUUGUGGAGGCUCUCUGUCCUCCUGGAAUGGCUCUCUGUCCUCUCCGUACUACCCUGCCCACUAUCCUCCAAACAUCGACUGCAGCUGGACCAUACGGGUGAGCUCACACCCCAGGAGACCCACAGUGUGUGUUGUUGUGUGUGUGUGUGUGUGUGUGUGUGUGUGUGUGUGUGUGUGUGUUGACAGUAGGUCUCUCCACAUUCCUGCAUCUGAACCACUAGUUCUCUCCGUUGUGUCUCUUUCAGGCGCCGUUGCCUGGAUACCUGAUCUCCAUGACAAUUGUGACGUUGAAUAUCCAGGACUCUUCGUCUUCGGACGGCUGUGAGAAAGACUGGCUGGACAUUGGAGGGGUCAAGCUGUGUAACCCCAUGACUGACAGCAGCAGAAAGAAAACCUACUCCUCUCCCGUCUCUCUACACUUCCACUCUGAUGAGUCUGUCACUCACAAGGGCUUCUACCUUCUCUACAGAGCAUUCUCCCCUGAGAGCACGUGUCCUCGCCAGUUCCACUGUGGGGAUGGGAGGUGUGUUCCUCUCAGGAAGGUGUGUGACGGAGUCAGAGACUGUUCAGACGGACGGGACGAGGCUAAAUGCUGUAUGUUAUCCUCAACACUCUAACUCCUCACAUACUGUACAUGUAUUCAGUAAGGAUGACGAAGAUCACCAUAAGUGAUCUGCCUGUGCAAUAAGUACUGUAUUUCUUCAAAACAAGACCAGUAUAUUGUGUUGUGUGUAGCGACCUGUCGUCCAGGUGAGGUGUAUUGUGGGAACGGUCAGUGCCGGCCUCACAGCAGCCAAUGUAACAGCCAGAGUAAAUGUGGAGAUAGCAGCGAGGAGGCCGACUGUGGUGAGUACCAUACACAUGCCUGGACCACACACUUUAUCUUAAUUAUAAACUACUUAUAAUCAUUGCAUUGUUUGUUCAUCAUAAGGUUGUGUGAGACCAUUUGUUACUUGUCUUCAUUAUGCCAGCUGCAUGGAGGACUGGUCUGUGGUAAGGAUGGCCCCUCUCCCCAUUUCUGGGUCUUGGUGCGUUUCUGUGG